AAGGCUUCAGUACGACCCAGUCAGAACCAUAAGUCUCAAAGCCCCGACGAGUAGGGUGGCGUGCCGGUGAGCGUUGAAGGCCAAGACGUGAGUCAGGCUGGAGCCGCCGGUAGUGCAGAUCUUGGUGGUAGUAGCAAGUACUCUGGUGAACCAACCUGGAGCUGUGAGGUCUGGAUUAGGGUUCCAUGUCAACAGUGAUUGAACAUGGGUGAGUCGAUCCUAAGCCAACUGUGAAAGCAGUGACAUCCCGACAAAGGGGCAAAUGAUUGGUUGGUUGGUUGGGUGUGUGGCCUGUGCCUGCAAGCUCGCAUAAAAAAACUCGCCUCCCAUCGAUACACAUGCAAUGAAUACGCUCGAUGGCGUUGGCGACGACUGAAAGAGGAUGGGUGGCUUUGGCGAGAAAUGGGGGGGCUUGCGUCGCGCUUGUUGAAAUGCUCACACCACCACCACCGCUACGCUCUCUGCGUUGGUUCUAUGUCUGGCGAAAGGGAAUGGGGACUUUGUUCCUUGACCGGUCCCGGCACCCUCGAUAGGCUUUGCCAUUCAAUGGUCCAUGCAAAUGGAACCAGGCCACAGCCGCCGGCAGUCGCCCGAGGAAGAGUUUUCUUUUCUGCUUAACGCACGAGAUCAUCCCUGGAAACAGUUCGGCUGGCGAAAGGGUGCCCCGUUGCGGCAGAGCGCCACGACUGUCGUGCGCGUCUCGGUGUUCCUGCCGGUCCGUGAAGACGUGGUCGAGGGGAUUGCACACUUGUAUCAACGAAACGCCCGACAAGUUCGGGACGGACCGUACCCUAUAUCCGCAUCUGGUCUCCAAGGUUCGUAGCCUCUGCAGAGUCAGACACAUGUAGGUAAGGGAAGUCGGCAAAUUCGAUCCGUAACUUCGGGAAAAGGAUUGGCUCUGAGGGCCGAGCUGGGCCGGGCCUUGCCUGCAAAGCAGUACCUAUAGUGACCGGAGUUUUAGGAGUGCGAGGGGCUCUAGUAGCUGCCUGCGUUCACGCGUAGGCACGAACGAGUCUACCGCUCCGCUCCAACCACGAACGGCUGUGACGGCAAGGGCUCUGGGCGGGAGCGUUCAAACCGUAUGCUUCCCAGCUCGUCUGGGUGGUUGCGGGGCUUCGUCUGACCCAUACGGCUCCAGCGGCUAGCGGCUAACUCAGAACUGUCAUGGACCAAGGGAAUCCGACUGUCUAAUUAAAACAAAGCGUCGUGACGGCCCC
rnacentral:rRNA from 1 species